GACGAACGCUGGCGGCGUGCUUAACACAUGCAAGUCGAACGGAAAGGCCCUGCUUUUGUGGGGUGCUCGAGUGGCGAACGGGUGAGUAACACGUGAGUAACCUGCCCUUGACUUUGGGAUAACUUCAGGAAACUGGGGCUAAUACCGGAUAGGAGCUCCUGCUGCAUGGUGGGGGUUGGAAAGUUUCGGCGGUUGGGGAUGGACUCGCGGCUUAUCAGCUUGUUGGUGGGGUAGUGGCUUACCAAGGCUUUGACGGGUAGCCGGCCUGAGAGGGUGACCGGCCACAUUGGGACUGAGAUACGGCCCAGACUCCUACGGGAGGCAGCAGUGGGGAAUAUUGCACAAUGGGCGGAAGCCUGAUGCAGCAACGCCGCGUGCGGGAUGACGGCCUUCGGGUUGUAAACCGCUUUCGCCUGUGACGAAGCGUGAGUGACGGUAAGGGGUAAAGAAGCGCCGGCUAACUACGUGC
rnacentral:rRNA from 1 species